GCGAGAGCUGAGCGUUCACCGCCGCUCCCGUCUGUCCCUCAGUGGAAGCCUGUCCGCUCCGCACGCUCUGGCUGCCGUGCAUUCCCAGGAGGAGCGCCGUGUCUGUUCUUACAACAAAGACUUGGCUGAAGAUGAGAUGUGAGGUUCCGUGUCUGCAGAGGGAACAGAUGGAGACAGCGCUCUCUGCUCACUGCUGCUCUCCGUCACCAGAAAAUUCUCACUUCACCACCUGACAGGAGAGGCUGGCCGCCGGAAGGAGCUGUGCUGCAAGUGAAAAACAACUGUUACCAAUUCAGUUUCUAAUGUUUUAACUGAGUUUCCUAAGGUGGACUGUGUUUAUGAACAAUCAAGCAAACCCCAUCUGUGUUGCUGUUGUCCCUGUCUUUCCUCCAUAGGGCCACCUGUUCAAUCCCUGGUCCAGAAGAUCCCACGUGCCACGGAGCAAGUGAGCUUGUGCACCGCAGCUACUGAGCCCGAGUGCCAGAGCCAGCAGGCCGCAGCUGCUGAAACCUGUGGGCCUAAAGCCCGUACUCGGCAACGAGAGAAGCCAUGGCAGGGAGAAGGUCUCACUGCGACUGGGGAACAGCCCCUUUUGCUGCAACAGGAGAAAAGCCCGUGCAGCAGCUAAGACUUGGUACAGCCAA
ensembl:lncRNA